UGAAAAGAACUUUGAAAAGAGAGUUAAAGAGUACGUGAAACCGUUGAAGGGGAAACGAAUGCGACUAGCAAAGCACUCGUUGCAGAUUCAGCCAAAUCGACGAGCGUCGGUCGGUGCGCGGAUCCGAAUGGACCGUCGCCGAUUCGACGACUCGUCGGUCUGUCGCAAUUCUGCCCGGUGCGAGCCAACGUCGAUCAGUCGACGACGUUCGGUCGUUUCGUCAGGUGGUCCGCGGCUUCGGUCGUGGUCGUUAUAGGCGGGGCGACGAGGGCGUCGAGGCGGAUCGAGGAGACGAGUUGUCUCGGUGGCGGCCUGCGCGCUUCGGUGCUAGAGGCGAUCGGCACAUUUUGACGUCGUUUUUCGGACUGCAUGCAGUGCGCGAGACGAUCGUCGGAGGGUGUCGGCCAGUCUUUCAUACGUAGGCCUAGGUCGUUGGCGGUGAAAUGGUCACAUCCGACCCGUCUUGAAACACGGA
rnacentral:rRNA from 1 species